UACGGGGGGGGCAAGCGUUGUUCGGAAUUUCUGGGCGUAAAGGGCUCGUAGGCGGCCAACUAAGUCAGACGUGAAAUCCCUCGGCUUAACCGGGGAACUGCGUCUGAUACUGGAUGGCUUGAAUCCGGGAGAGGGAUGCGGAAUUCCAGGUGUAGCGGUGAAAUGCGUAGAUAUCUGGAGGAACACCGGUGGCGAAGGCGGCAUCCUGGACCGGAAUUGACGCUGAGGUGCGAAAGCGUGGGGAGCAAACAGG
rnacentral:rRNA from 1 species